AGUGAACGCUGGCGGUAGGCCUAACACAUGCAAGUCGAACGGCAGCACAGUAAGAGCUUGCUCUUACGGGUGGCGAGUGGCGGACGGGUGAGGAAUACAUCGGAAUCUACUUUUUCGUGGGGGAUAACGUAGGGAAACUUACGCUAAUACCGCAUACGACCUACGGGUGAAAGCAGGGGAUCUUCGGACCUUGCGCGAUUGAAUGAGCCGAUGUCGGAUUAGCUAGUUGGCGGGGUAAAGGCCCACCAAGGCGACGAUACGUAGCUGGUCUGAGAGGAUGAUCAGCCACACUGGAACUGAGACACGGUCCAGACUCCUACGGGAGGCAGCAGUGGGGAAUAUUAGACAAUGGGCGCAAGCCUGAUCCAGCCAUACCGCGUGGGUGAAGAAGGCCUUCGGGUUGUAAAGCCCUUUUGUUGGGAAAGAAAAGCAGCAGGUUAAUACCCCGCUGUUCUGACGGUACCCAAAGAAUAAGCACCGGCUAACUUCGUG
rnacentral:rRNA from 1 species